ACUACGGGAGGCAGCAGUGGGGAAUAUUGGGCAAUGGACGCAAGUCUGACCCAGCAACGCCGCGUGAAGGAAGAAGGCUUUCGGGUUGUAAACUUCUUUUAAGGGGGAAGAGCAGAAGACGGUACCCCUUGAAUAAGCCACGGCUAACUACGUGCCAGCAGCCGCGGUAAUACGUAGGUGGCAAGCGUUGUCCGGAUUUACUGGGUGUAAAGGGCGUGUAGCCGGGUUGACAAGUCAGAUGUGAAAUCCUGCGGCUUAACCGCAGAACUGCAUUUGAAACUGUUGAUCUUGAGUACUGGAGAGGCAGACGGAAUUCCUAGUGUAGCGGUGAAAUGCGUAGAUAUUAGGAGGAACACCAGUGGCGAAGGCGGUCUGCUGGACAGCAACUGACGGUGAGGCGCGAAAGCGUGGGGAGCAAACAGGAUUAGAUACCCUUGUAGUC
rnacentral:rRNA from 1 species